rnacentral:rRNA from 1 species
GUGGGGAAUCUUCCGCAAUGGACGAAAGUCUGACGGAGCGACGCCGCGUGAGUGAAGAAGGCCUUCGGGUCGUAAAGCUCUGUCAUCAGGGACGAACGGCCGGUGGAGUGGAAAGCCACCGGAUUGACGGUACCUGAGAAGGAAGCCACGGCUAACUACGUGCCAGCAGCCGCGGUAAUACGUAGGUGGCAAGCGUUGUCCGGAAUUAUUGGGCGUAAAGCGCGCGCAGGUGGGAUCUUAAGUCCAUUUUGAAAGUUCGGAGCUCAACUCCGUGAUGGGAUGGAAACUGGGAUUAUUGAGUACCGGAGAGGAAAGCGGAAUUCCCCGUGUAGCGGUGAAAUGCGUAGAUAUGGGGAGGAACACCAGUGGCGAAGGCGGCUUUCUGGACGGUGUCUGACACUGAGGCGCGAAAGCUAGGGGAGCGAACGGGAUUAGAAACCCCUGUAGUCC